UACGUAGGGUGCAAGCGUUGUCCGGAUUUAUUGGGCGUAAAGAGCGUGUAGGCGGCCAUACAGGUCAGCUGUGAAAACUCGAGGCUCAACCUCGAGACGUCGGUUGAAACCGUAUGGCUAGAGUCCGGAAGAGGAGAGUGGAAUUCCCGGUGCAGCGGUGAAAUGCGCAGAUAUCGGGAAGAACACCCGUGGCGAAGGCGGCUCUCUGGGACGGUACUGACGCUGAGACGCGAAAGCGUGGGGAGCGAACAGG
rnacentral:rRNA from 1 species